GACGAACGCUGGCGGCGUGCUUAACACAUGCAAGUCGAACGGAAAGGCCCUGCGUUUGUUGGUUUCUCGAGUGGCGCACGCGUGAGUAACACGCGAGUAACCUGCCCUUGUCUUUCUGAUAACUUCAGGAAACUCCGGCUCAUACCGCAUAGAAGCUCCUGCUGCAUGGUGUUGGAUGGAAAGUUUCGGCGGUUGGGGAUCGAUUGGCGGCUUAUCCGCUUGUUGGUGUGGUAGUGGCUUACCAAGGCUUUGACGGGUAGCCGGCCUGGGAGGGUGACCGGGCACCAUAGGACUGAGAUACGGACCAGACGCCAACGGGAGGCAGCAGUGGGGAACAUUGCAGAAUAGGCGGAAGCCAGAGGCGAAAACGUCGGGUGCGGGAUACCGGGUUACGGGUUGUAAACAGAUUUCGACUGUGACGAAGCGUGAGUGACGGUAAUGGGUAAAGAAGCACCGGCUAACUACGUG
rnacentral:rRNA from 1 species